rnacentral:lncRNA from 1 species
CAUCUCCACUCUCCAGCACUCCCAGACACCCACCUUCUUCUCUGACUGUACCCUAACUUAUCAAAGGUCAUAAUAUACCAUUGCCAUAGCUGUAGGAAUAGAGCAGCUGCUACCCUCUGGUCUUGCCCACACCUUUCCUGUAUGCAACAGCCCACCCCAGGGGCUAUUCUGUCUUGAAAAGGCCAAAGCAGACCCUUCCUUUAUGGGCCUCUGCUGAGCCAUUCUCUGGGUCUGAAGAAUGAACAGACUGCUUGUCUUGUCGCCUGUUUUCAGUCUUUCAUUGUUCCUGAAAAGACAAAAGAAGCCUCAGACUUUAGAUCCCAUCGACUUAGCGCUGGGCUCCAGCUGUUUACAUGCAUGAAACUCCUACCAUCCUCUUUUGAUUUGCAACAUGCGCUGAGCCUAGGACAAAAGAACAUCCUCUUAUUCACAAGUCGUGACUCAUGUGAAAAUUGAAACUUCAUGCUAUUUUUUAUUAAGGGCUUUGCUUUCUUUCUGUGGGUCAGAAUAAUUGGGGGAGGGAGAAGAUAAACACAGUAAAAUAAACAUGAACAAUGGAUAAAUCCA